CCGGCUCAAAAGGCAUUCAAGAAGCUGCAAUUCUGGAUGUCUUAGCGCUGGGUUAUGUGGCUGUUGGACACCUAAAAACUGUUGCUUCUCUGUUGAAUGUGUGCCUUGUAUUAACUCCAUCUUGUGAAGGUAGAGAAAGCUAGAAGAUACAUUCCAAGAGAAUUCAGAUUGGCUGAAGCUUUUGGAAACAUUUUGGUUGCUUCUUUCUAGCCAGCUAUGAGGACAGUCCCACCGGUGUCUUUGAUGAGGUACGGUUC